rnacentral:rRNA from 1 species
GACGAACGCUGGCGGCGCGCCUAACACAUGCAAGUCGAACGAGCGAGAGAGAGCUUGCCUUCUCGAGCGAGUGGCGAACGGGUGAGUAACGCGUGAGGAACCUGCCUCAAAGAGGGGGACAACAGUUGGAAACGACUGCUAAUACCGCAUAAGCCCACGGCUCGGCAUCGAGCAGAGGGAAAAGGAGCAAUCCGCUUUGAGAUGGCCUCGCGUCCGAUUAGCUAGUUGGUGAGGUAACGGCCCACCAAGGCAACGAUCGGUAGCCGGACUGAGAGGUUGAACGGCCACAUUGGGACUGAGACACGGCCCAGACUCCUACGGGAGGCAGCAGUGGGGAAUAUUGCACAAUGGGGGAAACCCUGAUGCAGCGACGCCGCGUGGAGGAAGAAGGUCUUCGGAUUGUAAACUCCUGUUGUUG